GCUAGACGCGCAGAGGGGCGGAUAGCGCGCGGACCCCGCCUUCCCCAACCGAGUGUGGGUUCCAGUCGCUGGGGAGGACCUGGUGGCCCCCUGACCUUGGACGAGCCAUAUUGGACGCCCCGGCGCCGUCCCGUCUUCCACGCUGCCAACUCCACCGCUCCCGCCCCGAACUGCGGGUAGGUCCAGGCCGCCAGGCCCCGCCUCGCCGGCCCCAGCCCUGAUUGACACUGGAGUUGGUACAUACGGGUCUGCAGCGGAGGCGAGCAGGAGGGUUGCAAAGAGGAAACUCCCUUUCGGAAUGGAAAGCCGCUUUUGCUUCUUGUUGUUGGGGGUGGAAAACAUUCCAGCGAGAAUGAGUUCAAAAAGAAGGGAAACCGCGUCACUGGAGAGAAAGUAACAUUAAGAGAUCGAUGAGGACGGAGUGGGUAGGGGGGACAGAGAGAGGAACGUCUGCAACAGGCAUCUAAAAACAAGCGUGGAGGAGCAAAGAUUCCCAAUCCCCGGGUUACUACCGCGCGCGUUCUGCGCGAGCCAUUGCAAUGCCAGCAUUUACUGUAAGCAGAAUUUGAAGGCUUUUGAAAUCUUUUUUUGGUAAGACUUACCUUUCUCUUCGGCAUAAUGACUAUGUCGGUGAAGCAAAAAGUAAAGCAACGGACUGGAACUGCUGGCGCCGCCGCUGGAUGCUGCCUCUGCCUCUGCAGCUGCUCACGGGAAAGUGAAUGAAUGCAUUUUGUACAUGGGAAGAAAGAUGAAG
rnacentral:lncRNA from 1 species